UUACCACUCUGGCCUAAUGGCUUAGAUCAAGUGUAGUAUCUGUUCUUAAUAGUCUAACCACUAUUACGGAGGCACGCCUCCUAUAUCGGUUAUCCUAUUUUUGCCGCCCCGUUGUCAUUGGGCUCUGCUUGCACCCCUCGGAUGUCGAUGACCUUCCUGCUGCACUGCCGGGUAGCGUCGUCGGGGGAUC
rfam:Galerina marginata CBS 339.88 GALMAscaffold_7_Cont269, whole genome shotgun sequence.